UGUUCGAUGUCGUGGCGGACGCGAUGGGCUUCAAGCGCCUGAACGUGGUGCCCACCGGCGGCUCGGACCCGUUCGAACAG
rnacentral:tRNA from 1 species